CACCUUUGACUAUUUUAAAAACAGCUUUACAUGAUUUCAGCAUGAUAGACACGGGUUGUUAGUAUUGCUUAAAUAUAAUGGCUUUAGUCUGUAAACAAGUCGCUGGAAAAUUUGGGAUUAAUAAACAAACAGACUUACCACUGUGAAAUGUCAACACUCUUGAGUGUUAGCAUCCAUUAGAAAUUUUAUUUACAUUCACUGACCUCCUAACAAUCUCUUUCGGUCAUGGUCUUUCAAUUUUCAGAACAAAAAACACAAGUUAGUCUGGAUUAAGGUCUAACUAAGUCAUGAUCUUAUUCAAACACAUAAGCGUUUAUAAAUUUCCAAAACAUGCUUAAAAUAAUGUGCUACUUAGGCCCCCUUACUGUAAAUACACCUGUAGUUGCCUGCAACUGUAUUUAUAAACAUUUUUUUAUUGCCACUGACCCUUCAGGAGGGGUAAAUGUAGUGUUUAGUUUUUCUCUCAGCCAACACCUGCAUUAUAACAAGUUGCUUGAUUUAUAGGUCAUAUAAUAUUCAAUAUCAUUGCCAAUGUACAUUAGCUAUUGAGGUAUUUACUGAGGUAAGGAAUACGUCAUAAAAUGUUGAGAUAUAGACAGAACCUUUGUUUAAAAACAGUGCUUUUUUUGUUGGGGGAGGUCAUACAUUCAUCUUUUUAUGUGGGUCUUCCUGUCUUUAAACUAGCUCUGGAGCUCCGUAGAAAACCUGGGAUGCCGACUUGAAGUCAAAACAAGUCUGCACACACAUGCACAGGCAUUUACAUGUAUGGAAGACUUUUAUUACCUUAUGAAUAGUUUGUAGGGUUUGCAAACUGCCUCAGCGCUUAUGAUGUAGCUAAUCUUAGGUUUAUAAUGGAAUGAUAUAUAUUUCUCAUAAGAUUUCUUGCGUGAGCGUGAGAGUCUGAAAGCGUGAGUGUCACGUGACAGUUGGCAGCCCUGCGCUAACGCUCCUUUGCUAACUCUCGGUAGCUAACAGUCCAGAACGCUGCCUUUGCGAUGAAUACCGUAGUGACAGGCGAGUUUGAGGAGCUGCUCGAAGUCGAAAAGCUCAGAGCCAGGCUUUUGAAUAGUCAAGAUGGACAAGACGCCUUUCAGACGGAGAGGGAGGAGGUAACCAGUCAGGAUGUUCUGUCACGUAUUGAGAACGUGAUCCUGGGAAUAGUGCUCAGUCUGUCCCGGGGGGAAGCGCCCGUCCUGGCGUUUCACAGCAGAUCCCACUGGCUUAAUGUCAGGUUUCACAGUAAUAUUGGCCUUCACAUGGGUUCUGACACAGCUGUCAACAUUGUCAGAAGUGACUGUCCUUCGUCAAUCGGCAGAUUUGCAUCAACUUUGAAGGUCUUAUCGACUGUUUAUAAACUUGUUCAGAGCAACACAUAUGCCACAAAAAGGGACAUCUAUUACAAUGACACACAGCUUUUUGGAUCUCAGAGGACUGUGGAUUCUGUUGUCGAUGACAUUUCCUGCAUGCUCAAGAUCCCACGCAGGAGCUUACAUGUGCUUGCCACAUCAAAGGGUCUGAUAUCAGGUGACUUGUGCUAUCAGGAAGAAGAUGGUACCAAAAUGAACUGCAAAUCCAGCCUCACAGCAGUCUCAGUUUCAUCCAAUGUUUAUGGAAUAAAGAAUAUUGUAUCUUCUGCAAAGUUCAUUCUUAUUGUAGAAAAAGAUGCAACGUUUCAGAGACUCCUGGAUGAUGAAUUUGGCUCAAAGACAUCUCCAUGCAUCAUGAUUACAGGAAAGGGUGUGCCGGACAUCAACAGCAGGCUGAUGGUUAGGAAGUUGUGGGACACUUUGCACAUUCCCAUUUUAGCACUGGUGGAUGCGGACCCACACGGCAUUGAAAUUAUGUCUAUCUACAAGUAUGGAUCAGUGUCAAUGUCAUUUGAGGCACAGAGUCUAACUGUCCCGAGUGUGAUGUGGCUGGGUCUCCUACCAUCCGAUAUUGAGAGGCUGAGAGUGCCAAAAGAUGCCCUGGUUCCAUUCUCAAAGAAGGAUGAGAGCAAACUCUCUAGCCUGCUGAAGCGGCCAUAUGUCAGCCUCCAGCCUGCCUGGGAAAAGGAGUGCAGGGUGACGGGGUUGGUUGGAGCCAGUCCCAGGCAGGAUAGUGUAGGAGGCUGGGGUACACCCUGGACAGGAUGCCGUUCUCUUGGAGCUCGGAGGGAGCAAAAGGAUGGACCGGCUGUGGGUCCCCGAGGACCAGAUUGGGAAAGACUCAGCUAGAGAAACAGGAGUGAGAAUGAGAGGAGGCUUGAGCAGGAAGGAGGUUCAGCAGACAGUCUGGCCCUUCCUGAACCACUUCACGGGUGUGCUUAUGAUCUGGACAUUUAGAAAUGAGAAUAGGUCCUCCAGAGCACAACUUGAACAGCUUGAUGCAGAGUGUGGAACAGCAGUGAUGAGAAUCUGCACCUCUAAAUCCAAGGCCAUGGUACUCGAGUAAAAGUAACAGAAACUAGGUUUCUCCACAAAGUUGGUGGACUCUCUCCCUGGGAUGGAGUGAGGAAUUCAGUGUUCAUAAAGGACUUCAUAAAUUAGCUUCUGCACCUGUCUGAGAAUUGAUGGAUAGAUAAAUGACCAGUAUCGUGUUUCAGCAACAUGUUCAUUAUCUGUUAACUAUUUUUUUGUGACAACCAGUUUGUGGCAAUAGAAUUAAUCCAAACCAUUACAUACUGCAUUCUGAUUGGGGAUUCCUUGAGUUUAGUGUUUAUAUGGGUUGCAUGGCCAAGGACAACUUUAAUUUAAAAGUGCCAUGGACUGAAUAGAUAUAGAGAAACCGUACCACAAGCUGUAUACACCCCGUCAACGAUAAAAAGUAAA